CAAGUCGAGCGGAAAGGCCUCUUCGGGGGUACUCGAGCGGCGAACGGGUGAGUAACACGUGAGUAACCUGCCCCAGUCUUUGAGAUAACCCUCGGAAACGGGGGCUAAUACCGGAUAUGACUGCUGGCCGCAUGGCUGGUGGUGGAAAGUUUUUAUGGUCUGGGAUGGGCUCGCGGCCUAUCAGCUUGUUGGUGGGGUGAUGGCCUACCAAGGCGACGACGGGUAGCCGGCCUGAGAGGGCGACCGGCCACACUGGGACUGAGACACGGCCCAGACUCCUACGGGAGGCAGCAGUGGGGAAUAUUGCACAAUGGGCGGAAGCCUGAUGCAGCGACGCCGCGUGAGGGAUGACGGCCUUCGGGUUGUAAACCUCUUUCAGCAGGGACGAAGCGUGAGUGACGGUACCUGCAGAAGAAGCGCCGGCCAACUACGUGCCAGCAGCCGCGGUAAGACGUAGGGCGCGAGCGUUGUCCGGAUUUAUUGGGCGUAAAGAGCUCGUAGGCGGCUUGUCGCGUCGUUCGUGAAAACCCACAGCUCAACUGUGGGCUUGCGGUCGAUACGGGCAGGCUGGAGUUCGGUAGGGGAGACUGGAAUUCCUGGUGUAGCGGUGAAAUGCGCAGAUAUCAGGAGGAACACCGGUGGCGAAGGCGGGUCUCUGGGCCGAUACUGACGCUGAGGAGCGAAAGCGUGGGGAGCGAACAGGAUUAGAUACCCUGGUAGUCCACGCUGUAAACGUUGGGCGCUAGGUGUGGGGGGCCUCUCCGGUUCUCUGUGCCGCAGCUAACGCAUUAAGCGCCCCGCCUGGGGGAGUACGGCCGCAAGGCUAAAACUCAAAGGAAUUGACGGGGCCCGCACAAGCGGCGGA
rnacentral:rRNA from 1 species